CCUACGGGGGGCAGCAGUGGGGAAUUUUGGACAAUGGGCGCAAGCCUGAUCCAGCUAUUCCGCGUGUGGGAAGACGGCCUUCGGGUUGUAAACCACUUUUGUAGAGAACGAAAAGUCUGUUGAUAAUACCGAUAGAUGAUGACGGUACUCUAAGAAUAAGCACCGGCUAACUACGUGCCAGCAGCCGCGGUAAUACGGAGGAUGCGAGCGUUAUCCGGAUUUAUUGGGUUUAAAGGGUGCGUAGGCGGAAUGCCAAGUCAGCGGUAAAAUCGCGGGGCUCAACCUCGCUCCGCCGUUGAAACUGGCGUUCUUGAGUGGGCGAGAAGUAUGCGGAAUGCGUGGUGUAGCGGUGAAAUGCAUAGAUAUCACGCAGAACUCCGAUUGCGAAGGCAGCAUACCGGCGCCCAACUGACGCUGAAGCACGAAAGCGUGGGUAUCGAACAGGAUUAGAUACCCGUGUAGUC
rnacentral:rRNA from 1 species